rnacentral:rRNA from 1 species
UACGUAGGCAGCAAGCGUUGUUCGGAGUUACUGGGCGUAAAGAGCGCGCAGGCGGUCGUUCAAGUCGCGUGUGAAAGCCCCCGGCUCAACUGGGGAGGGUCACGCGAUACUGAUCGACUCGAAGGCAGGAGAGGGAAGUGGAAUUCCCGGUGUAGAGGUGAAAUUCGUAGAUAUCGGGAGGAACACCGGUGGCGAAGGCGGCGACCUGGGUAGAUACUGACGCUGAGGUGCGAAAGCGUGGGGAGCAAACAGG